rnacentral:rRNA from 1 species
AUUGAACGCUGGCGGCAUGCCUAACACAUGCAAGUCGAGCGGAUGAAGGGAGCUUGCUCCUGGAUUCAGCGGCGGACGGGUGAGUAAUGCCUAGGAAUCUGCCUGGUAGUGGGGGAUAACGUCCGGAAACGGGCGCUAAUACCGCAUACGUCCUGAGGGAGAAAGGGGGGGAUCUUCGGACGUCGCGCUAUCAGAUGAUCCUAGGUCGGAUUAGCUUGUUGGUGUGGUAAAGGCCUACCACGGCGACGAUCCGUAAAUGGUCUGAGAGGAUGAUCAGUCACAGUCGAACUGAGACACGGUCCAGACUCCUACGGCAGGCAGCAGUAGGGAAUGUUGGACAAUGGGCGAAAGCCUGAUCCAGCCGUGCCGCGUGUGUGAAGAAGGUCUUCGGAUUGUAAAGCACUUUACGUUGGGAGGAAGGGCAGUAAGUUAAUACCUUGCUGUUUUGACGUUACCAACAGAAUAAGCACCGGCUAACUUCGUG